UACGUAGGGGGCAAGCGUUGUCCGGAAUCAUUGGGCGUAAAGCGCGUGUAGGCGGCCCGGUAAGUCCGCUGUGAAAGUCGGGGGGCUCAACCCUCGGAUGCCGGUGGAUACUGUCGGGCUAGAGUGCGGGAGAGGCGAGUGGAAUUCCUGGUGUAGCGGUGAAAUGCGCAGAUAUCAGGAGGAACACCUAUUGCGAAGGCAGCUCGCUGGGACGUAACUGACGCUGGAGACGCGAAAGCGUGGGGAGCAAACAGG
rnacentral:rRNA from 1 species